GAUGAACGCUGACAGAAUGCUUAACACAUGCAAGUCGAUGGGGAAGUGGUGCUUGCACCCUGGCAACCAUGGCGGACGGGUGAGUAACGCGUAAGGGACUUACCUGCAGGACUGGGAUAACAGGGGGAAACUCCUGACAAGACCGGAUAAUGUCAUGGAGCUGCAUGGCUUUAUGAUGAAAGGAGACGCCUGCGGAGAGCCUUGCGUCCUAUUAGCUAGUUGGUGAGGUAAUGGCUCACCAAGGCGAAGAUAGGUAGCCGGCCUGAGAGGGUGGACGGCCACAAGGGGACUGAGAUACGGCCCUUACUCCUACGGGAGGCAGCAGUGGGGAAUAUUGGACAAUGGGGGCAACACUGAUCCAGCAAUUCUGUGUGCACGAAGAAGGUUUUCGGAUUGUAAAGUGCUUUCAGCAGGGAAGAAGUAAGUGACGGUACCUGCAGAAGAAGCGACGGCUAAAUACGUG
rnacentral:rRNA from 1 species